rnacentral:rRNA from 1 species
GACGAACGCUGGCGGCGUGCUUAACACAUGCAAGUCGAACGGAAAGGCCCUGCUUUUGUGGGGUGCUCGAGUGGCGAACGGGUGAGUAACACAUGAGUAACCUGCCCUUGACUUUGGGAUAACUUCAGGAAACUGGGGCUAAUACCGGAUAGGAGCUCCUGCUGCAUGGUGGGGGUUGGAAAGUUUCGGCGGUUGGGGAUGGACUCGCGGCUUAUCAGCUUGUUGGUGGGGUAGUGGCUUACCAAGGCUUUGACGGGUAGCCGGCCUGAGAGGGUGACCGGCCACAUUGGGACUGAGAUACGGCCCAGACUCCUACGGGAGGCAGCAGUGGGGAAUAUUGCACAAUGGGCGGAAGCCUGAUGCAGCAACGCCGCGUGCGGGAUGACGGCCUUCGGGUUGUAAACCGCUUUCGCCUGUGACGAAGCGUGAGUGACGGUAAUGGGUAAGGAAGCACCGGCUAACUACGUG